AUGCUUGGCAACCAGCCAGAGUAAAAAUAAACUCACUGUACCUGACCAGCUGUGUCAUACAGUCCCAAUAAGUACUGCUUUCCGCCAACAUUGACACUCACUGCAAAGCAAUGAAAAAGGCUUGUUUAGAGAGAGACAGAGGGAUCUCUUAUCCCAAGUGGUUUUGCUUAUAGAAACCGAUGUAUUCCUAUGCAAUCUGAGACAAAGAAAGUAGAAAAGUGACAAAAGGGAUGGACGGCACAAGGACUAGUUUGCCUCUAUUUUGUUCAGACAGUGCUGUUUGGCUUUGCCUCGCAGCCUGCUUCUCAAAUACAAACCUGACCACAGGCCCAAACAACACAGAAAAGGAAGACCCUGCUGCAGAACAGAGUCUAUAGUCUUCAUAGACGACACCACCACUUCCUCAGGAAAUAAUGAGUGGCCAUGGCAUGCUGUGAACUUUUAUCUGCUAACUGUUUUAUAUAUGUUUGGGAUCAAGAUGGUUAUUAGUGAUUCCAGCUUGCUUACAGCGCUCAGAGAGGACCAUAGACAAAAAAAGCAAAAACAUUCAAGCCGUCAAAAUUCUUCAUAAAACAUAACUAUUGUUAAGCUUCCCACCACACACCUAACAUUCCUCAGAAAAUAAAUGAUCUUCUUUGACCCAGAACAUAUUUUAGGACAAAAUGCAAUGCACUGUUUAAACAGAGAUUAUCACAAUGUUCAAAAUUACAACAUAUUGUCUUGUUUUAUAUCAUGAUGGAAAAGCAUGAAGUUUUCCUACAAAAUGUUUUCUAGUCAUAACGCUAGAGCAUUCGCCAAUUUUAAGUUCAGAUCGCCCAUUUUAAUCACCGUUUACAUUACGCUUGUUUUAUGAAAAAAAGACUACAGAUGUUUCAUACAGAUGUUUCUUAACUUGCCUUAUAUUACAUUAUACUAAUACAUUUGCCUUUAAGCACGGACAAGCUUGGGAUUUAUCCACAAAUCGAGUCUAUUAAUAUAGAUAAGAGAUAAGAUGAGAGUUGAAGGGUGAAGUUCUCGUUUAUAAAACGUGACAAAUAAAAAUGUGAUUGAUGAACAAACUUGGCUCUAUGCAGCUACUUAGUUUUUUUCCACCUCUGUCUGUUACGCUGUCUUCGCGUGUGCUUGGACAGCUCUGACGAGGACAUAACAUCAUCAUGGUCCAUGAUUGGUGACUCUGCAUUGGCAUUAUGACUAUGUUCAGAAUUGUAUGUGUUGAUCAGACAUGUAUUUGAUCAUUUAAAAAUAGGCCAGCAUAGUCAAAAUAUUGAGAAAUAACAGUGAAACAUGACAUAAAAAAAUAUAUAUUAGAGCAGUAAGCCUAAUAUAGGCACCUGACCCGGCCUACAAUGUGCAGGACUCCAUUUAUUCAUACAAUUUGUCAAACUAAUUUCCCAUCCAAAUGCAAAAAUAUAUAUAAAAAGUGACAAAAUGGGAUAUCACAUGAAUUACUUAAGCUUUAGGAAAUGCAACCAACUACAGAGAUUGAUGGGGAGGGGAGUGGGACCCAUAAACCCCGCUUCAAUCAAGCAGGCUUCAGUCACCCACUUUUGCUUCAGUCAUCCCCAUUGCCUGUAAUGUUUUUGAAAAGGGAAAUGUGUGUUAAAUGGGUAGUGAAUAUAAUUUCCUUUUAUUUACUGUUCUGAGUUAUGAUGUUAUCAAUUCGUUGAUGUAGGGAUCUACUCAUUCUACGCAAAGUUUUCAGCUAUUUUUGAAGUACUCAAUUUGAAAUAUGCAAUAUUUGGUUGUGCACUUUUUUGUGAAAAUUGUCAUUGUUUGUAUUUGGAAGUUGUGUGCCUGAAAUGCUCAAUUGAUUUGAAAUGAACAACUACGACUUACA